rnacentral:rRNA from 1 species
UACGUAGGGGGCAAGCGUUGUCCGGAAUCAUUGGGCGUAAAGCGCGUGUAGGCGGGCAUGUAAGUCGGGCGUGAAAGCCCCAGGCUCAACCUGGGAACUGCACUCGAAACUGCGUUUCUUGAGUAUCGGAGAGGAAAGCGGAAUACCUGGUGUAGAGGUGAAAUUCGUAGAUAUCAGGUGGAACACCAGUGGCGAAGGCGGCUUUCUGGACGAUUACUGACGCUGAGACGCGAAAGCGUGGGGAGCAAACAGG